UAACAAGGAUUCCCCUAGUAACUGCGAGUGAAGCGGGAAGAGCUCAAAUUUAAAAUCUGGCGGUCUCUGAUCGUCCGAGUUGUAACCUGAAGGAGCGUUUUCCGCGUCGAACCGUGUACAAGUCUCCUGGAACGGAGCGUCAUAGAGGGUGAGAAUCCCGUCCAUGACACGGACGCUCGGUGCUUUUGUGAUACGCUCCCGAAGAGUCGCGUUGUUUGGGAAUGCAGCGCAAAAUGGGUGGUAAAUUCCAUCUAAAGCUAAAUAUUGGCGAGAGACCGAUAGCGAACAAGUACCGUGAGGGAAAGAUGAAAAGCACUUUGAAAAGAGAGUUAAACAGUACGUGAAAUUGUUGAAAGGGAAACGCUUGAAGUCAGUCGUGUCUUGUGGAACUCAGCCUUGCUUCGGCCUGGUGUACUUUCCACUCGACGGGUCAACAUCAAUUUCGACCGGUGGACAAGGGCGAGGGGAAUGUAGCGUCGUUUCGGCGACGUGUUAUAGCCCCUCGUCGCAUACACCGGCUGGGAUUGAGGACCGCAGCGCGCCCUUGUGGCCGGGGGUUCGCCCCACGUACCGCGCUUAGGAUGUUGGCAUAAUGGCUUUAAGCGACCCGUCUUGAAACACGGACCAAGGAGUCUAACAUGCUUGCGAGUGUUCGGGUGGAAAACCCUUGCGCGUAAUGAAAGUGAAAGUUGGGAGCCUCCGCGAGGGGGUGCACCGACGCCCGGCCCUGACGUUCUCUGACGGUGCUGCGGUAGAGCAAGUAUGUUGGGACCCGAAAGAUGGUGAACUAUGCCUGAAUAGGGCGAAGCCAGAGGAAACUCUGGUGGAGGCUCGUAGCGAUUCUGACGUGCAAAUCGAUCGUCAAAUUUGGG
rnacentral:rRNA from 2 species